rnacentral:tRNA from 1 species
UUUGGCAAAGUACAUAUCUGUAUUUACCCCAUAU